UCCUGACCGUGCGAAGGUAGCGUAAUCACUUGUCUUUUAAAUGAAGACCUGUAUGAAUGGCAUAACGAGGGUUUAACUGUCUCCUUCCCCCAGUCAAUGAAAUUGAUCUGCCCGUGCAGAAGCGGACAUAAAAACAUAAGACGAGAAGACCCUAUGGAGCUUUAGGCCAAGGACCAAUCAUGUUAAGAGACUACAAAACCAAAAAGAACAAAAAAGUCAACAAACCAAAUGCAACCUCGUCCAAGUGCCUUCGGUUGGGGCGACCACGGGGAAAAAAGAAACCCCCACAUGGAAUGGAAAUUAUCUCCUUAAACCAAGAAAAACAAUUCUAAGCAACAGAACAUCUGACCAAUAUAUGACCCAGGAAAACAGAUCCUGAUCAAUGAACCAAGUUACCCUAGGGAUAACAGCGCAAUCCUUUCCCAGAGCCCAUAUCGACGAAAGGGUUUACGACCUCGAUGUUGGAUCAGGACAUCCUAAUGGUGCAGCCGCUA
rnacentral:rRNA from 1 species